rnacentral:tRNA from 2 species
AUUUAUGUAGUUUAAAAAACAUUAUAAUUUCAUUAUAAAAUUAAUAAAUUUUAUUCAUAAAUA